rnacentral:lncRNA from 1 species
AAAACAAGAAUUCAAAUAAACUAAAGUGAAAAAUUGCAUGCUUUGAUCUGCAUUCUGACUCCAGCAGUUCUUUCUCUUUAGAUGAAUAACAUUCUUUGACAUACACUCUUCAGAAUUGUUCUGGAUCAUUGCAUUGCUGAGAGGUUUUUGUUCUCAUCAUCCAGUUUUGAAGAGGAUCAAUAACAUCACCAGAGUCAUUGAAGUCCAGAAGCAAAACAAAUGUCAGG